rnacentral:lncRNA from 10 species
CAGUCCUGAUGUUUGUGCAUCAGGCAUAUAUAUCUCUGUGCCUUGCCACUGAGAUCAUAGUGCAUAUCUGGUGUUUUCAUUCUCUUUUCUCCUUAUGUUAUUUUGUAAACACGUUUCCGUAUUUAGGUGUCUUGUUUAUCGUUGUGUGUUAUCUCAUGAUGUUUUGGAGUGGAGGGUCCAUUGUUUCCGCAACAUCCCUCCAUGGUUAGACUGCUGGGUCAGUUUUUCCAAGACUCAAUUUUCUAACCCAGUAGGGUCCUUCAGUUCUCCAGCUUGGGAUAGGCUUUGGCAUGGAACCUGCCAAAGGGCUUCAAACAAAUGAAAUAUCCAUUUAGUUUUUAUUGAGGGGAGAUUUUUAUAUUCUGGUCUGGUAGUUUUAGAAAAUGUAAGUUGGAUUUUGUUUGGAACUUUAUUGCUGAGGCUUAAUUUGUGGCUCAGGAAAAGAAAUAGUUAAUAUUUCUUGGCGAAUCAAAGUGGAUUGGACUGGUUUUUGUGCCCAUUUGCUUCCAGACCUUGACUGACAGCGUCAGAUGAAGAAACUCAUCAUUUGGAAUAUUAGGAGAUGCUUGAAACCCUUUAGAACAGGCUGACCUGGGCAGUGUGGGAUGUGACUUUGGGAGAUCUGUUUUAACAUUUUUGUAAAAUAAUAUCACCAUGAGUGCCGGGCUUUGCAGAGGGAAGGUCAGAUUCCUGAUAUGAAAGGACUGAGUUAUUAAAAACAAACUGAAGGCUAGAAGCGAAGUUAACACUUGAGAAAUUAAAGGCCAUGAUGGUGAACUUGACUCCGGGCUUUCAGCUUUUGAGAUUGGCUGCUUUAGAUUUAUUUUCUAUGGCAUUUAAAAACCCUCCUGGGGCCAAGGUAGCACUUUUAGUCAACAGCCUUCCAAGCAGACACUUGCCUUUGAAACCAUAGCAGUCCCAGGGCAGGUUGGAGGUGGCUGAUGCCGGACACGGUGCUCCAGACUGAAAGGUGGUCAUUUGCUGUGAACUUCCCUCUAGAUUGUGUAGACUAGGAUGAGGAUGAUGGGAUGUUUCUUGAGCUCUGACCCAAGGCAGCAUCCUCUGUUGACAUAAUUCUCCCUCCCUACUGCCCCUUCCUCGGGCAGCUUGCCUGAAAGUUGAGAAUUCUUAGGUUAUUUCUUCCAAAGGGAGGACCCUCCCCGAGCCUGGCCAGCAGAGAAUGAGUGCCACUUUGCACUGGCCUAGUUGCACCUCUGCUGGGAAGAUGUGAAUCGGGGGCGAGUCGCCCAGUGAGUCAGGGUUAGGCUUCUGGGUAAGACACCGUGCUGACAGGCCUGGCUUCCCCUCUGCUUCAUGAGCCCCUGUGCUCCCCUUCACCCAUUCAAACCAUUGACUUCAUCCCUACCCAGAAGGUCACCUGGACUCCCAGUGUCAUAGCUGGAAGGGGGUGAGAUGGUGAUGAUGAUGGGAAACAUUUCUUGAGAGUUUGCUGUUUACUGUUAUUCGGAGUGCUUCCUGCAUGUUAACCUGAUCUUUAUAACUUUAUAAGGCAGAAGCGUUGUGAUUUUUCAUUUUACAGAUUAGGAAACCGGGGAACACAUUGGUGAACUCAUGUGUCCCAGAUUCACAGCUAGUGAAUGGAGAAGGUGGCUUUGAACUCAGGCCCUCUCACUCCAGAGCGUGCACUCCCAUUGUGGCAUGACACUGCCUUGCUGGGCCGUUUAGACCACCUGUCCCCACCUUCCUCACUUGGAGGAACAAGGCUCAGACAAGGCAUUUGCUGACUUUUACGUUGGAGACGUAAAAGUCUGUGGCUGUGGCUCCCGGGGGGAAGCCCUGCCUGCUUGUAUGCCUCUUCCUCACUCCCUCAUUCCCAGAUACUUCUUGUCUGCCUGCCGUUCAGGUGGGGGAUUGGAAGAGGGACCACAGACAUAGCCAUCGAGGGGCUACGGCCUUGUUGGGAUCAAUAAGGCAGGACCAAAAAUGAUUCUAAAACAAGAAGGAGGUGCAGAUGAAGUACUCUGAGGGUUCGAGGGAUGGAGCGAUGGGAUUCCAGGCUGGCCAGGCGUCUCCUCUGUAUCCAUGCGCUCAGUCAACAUUGGCUGAGUUCCCACUAUGUACUGAUGCUGGGGGCCAGAGCUGGGAGAGCACUACACAUUUGCAGCCUGGGGGCGGGGAGGGGGGCAGCUGGAGGUGUCCAUGUCCACCUGUAAUGCGUUGUGCCAGGUGCCCAGGGAGAAAGUCCAGAAGAGGGAGGAAUAGUAUAUGCCAAGGAGGAAAGUGUGGAUGGAGUGGGGAGACAUGGGAGAGGUUGUGCCAUGUGUGAGCGGGCCCUUGAAGGACAGAUGGGACCCUGUGAGGCAGAGAAGGAUGGAAGGACAUUGCAGGUCCAAGGGCAUUAUGUGGUCUGAGGACAGCUGGCAUGGUGGUUGGUUGUUGUCUCAAGAGGGACAAGGUGGGAAAAGGAGGCUGAAAUGGCAGGUGGGGCACUGGGAAAAGACCCCUGAGUGUCUGCUUAGCGCCCUCUUGCCUAUAGAAUAAAGUUGUUUGUGGGUUUUGAUUGGGGAGGUUUUCUGAUGACAGCUUCAUAAAGAUUAAUCUGGCCACUGUGUGGAAUCUAAAUUCUAGGGGAAAUUACUGGAGGCAAAACAAAACAAAACAAAACAAAAACCCACUUAGACAGCUCUUCCUCUGGAGGAGGCUGAGAUAAAUGCUUUCGAGAAAUGGUAGCAGAGCUGGGAGAAUGCAUUUGAGAGGGAAUCAUGGGCCUGAAUGAGCAGGGUUUGUUGACCAGCGUUAAGUGGGAUGAUGGUGAUGCCCCCAUCGAGGCUGGACACCCAGGAAGUGGAAUGGGUUGGGGGUGAAAGAUGGUGGUGGGUUGCCUGUGCUUAACUAUGUCCAGGAAGCAGUUGGAAAGUCAGGAAAGCGGCUGGCGCUGGAGGCGCAGAUUUGGAAACCAUGAACACAUGUGGCAGCCUUUCCCAUAGCGGGGCCUGAGAGAAGGGGUUUGGUGGUUGAAUGAGUGUGGAAAGCCUGUAUUGUGGCCUCUCCUCCAGCCCCCACUCAGGAGGGACUCACAUGGCCACGCUCUGAGGAGCCUGCAGAAGGAGGCCUGUCUGACCCAGCCUUCCUCCCAUGCACUGAUCACUGUUCCUGUACUUCUGUCUUACCGCCCCAUUACCCAUCCAUAGAUCUGACUCUGGAAACACCGAUGAAGUUUGGCUGAAGUCAUGCCAGUGGAUGGAUUUAGUGGAGAGGCCGACCCAGCUCAAGAUGGAAAGACAGCCAGAGAUGCGCUCGGGUGGUGGGGGUUCCUUGGAGAAGGCUGAGGUGUUAGCCCCAGGGCUCAGGUCUGGGGAAGGUUGAGCCUCCUUGCCCCAGCAAAGCCACUUCUGGUAAGGGGCAGGGACUCCUGGUUGAGACCUGGCUCAGCAUCCUGCCCCAGGCAGGCUCUCGGAGACCCUGGGACCUGGGACCGUUGUUUGCAGGGCAGGAGAUAUGAGCAGGUGAUGUUCCUGUUAUUACACAGCGUGCUGGGUGAGUCACCGGGAAUUUCCUAGGCAUUUAAGGCGGAAGGAUUGGGGUAAAUGGAGGGGAAGGAGGAGGCAGGUGGAGAGAGGAAAAAGGUAGUGAGCUGGCUUCUGCCUGGUGAGUAAGUUGUUCCCUGCUUUAAAGUGAGAUGAUUAGGGCGGAGCCAUGACUGAGGAAAAUAAUGUACCAGGGAGAGCCCUGAGGGAGCAGUUGAGCUGGAGUUAAAGGAGGUGAUGGCUUCCAGAGUGCCAGUGGC